CGCGUAGGCGGCGGACCUUGUCGAGUGUGAAAGCCCCGGGCUCAACCUGGGAGGUGCGCUCGAGACGGGUUUGCUGGAGUUCGGGAGAGGAGAGUGGAAUUCCCAGUGUAGAGGUGAAAUUCGUAGAUAUUGGGAAGAACACCGGUGGCGAAGGCGGCUCUCUGGACCGAGACUGACGCUGAGGCGCGAAAGCGUGGGGAGCAAACAGGAUUAGAUACCCUGGUAGUCCACGCUGUAAACGAUGUGUGCUAGACGUUGGGGAGCGUAGCUCUUCGGUGUCGCCGCAAACGCUUUAAGCACACCGCCGUGGGGAGUACGGCCGCAAGGUUAAA
rnacentral:rRNA from 1 species